rnacentral:lncRNA from 1 species
CAAGAAGAGAAGAAUGCGGUGCUAUCACAACUGAAGCAGUCAGAAACUUCAGUACAAAAUCUUGAGAAUGAGGUGAUACGACUGAAAGAGGAGCUUUCUGUCCAGCUAGAAAACAAUUCCACCUUGGACAAGCAGUUUGAAGAAGCCAGGAGCAAUCUGCAUGCUGAAAUUUCAGAGCUACGUGCAGAUAAGAACACAUCUCUAUUGAAAUUACAGACGUCUCAGGAUUCUGUCAGGAAUCUUGAGAUUGUGGUUGAAAAGCAAACUGAGAACAUUUCAACUCUACAGCAAGCUAAUGAUGAGUUACAGAAGAACAUCUACACUUUGACGGAGCAAUCACAACGAGACAAGGCGGAGAUGCAGGAUGAGUUGAAGGCAAUACAAGAAGAUAAGGAUGCAGUGCUAACACAACUGAAGCAGUCAGAGACUUCAGUACAAAAUCUAGAGGAUGAGUUGACACGACUGAAAGAGGAGCUUUCCGUCCAGCUAGAAAACAAUUCCACCUUGGACAAGCAGUUUGCAGAAGCCAGGAGCAAUCUGCAUGCUGAAAUUUCAGACCUACAUACAGAGAAGGACACAUCUCUACGGGAAUUACAGACGUCUCAGGCUUGUGUCAGGAAUCUUGAGAUUGUGGUUGAAAAGCAAACUGAGAACAUUUCAACUCUACAGCAAGCUAAUGAUG